UCUGACACAGGUGCUGCAUGGCUGUCGUCAGCUCGUGUCGUGAGAUGUUGGUAAGUCCCGUAACGAGCGCAACCCUUGUCAUUAGUUGCCAUCAGGUAAUGCUGGGGACUCUAAAGGAACUGCCUACGCAAGUAGUGAGGAAGGCGGGGAUGACGUCAAAUCAGCACGGCCCUUACGUCCAGGGCUACACACGUGCUACAAUGGCCGAUACAGAGGGCAGCUACCUGGUGACAGGAUGCAAAUCUCCAAAGUCGGUCUCAGUUCGGAUCGGAGUCUGCAACCCGACUCCGUGAAGUUGGAUUCGCUAGUAAUCGCGCAUCAGCCAUGGCGCGGUGAAUACGUUCCCGGGCCUU
rnacentral:rRNA from 1 species